GCCCGAGGGGCCGUCGGGGCGGGGCUCCGGCGGUUACAGACGCGGCGGUUACAGACCCGGGCGGACGCCGCCGCCGCCGCCUCGGGAAGCCGGGAGGGGCCCUUUCGGAGCGCGAGGACGCCUACAGGGAUCGUCUGGCGUAGCCCCGGAGUUCACUUGGGAAACGGAAGGAGACUCAGAAAAAGGCAGCGAUUUCGCGGGGCCGCCCUGCAGGCCCUGAGCCCAAGUUUUCUCCCAGUUCGCAUCCUGCUUCAGCCAGUUCCUCCCUCCCCCUCCACCCCCCCCCCCGCUCAAUUAAUUUCUUCUUUGGGUCCCUAAGUGUGUGCCCGCCGCGGCUCUAGAAAUUAAGAGAUCCGGCAGCUUCUUCGAGACUCACUCCCUUAAAUAUUGGUGGAGUUUGUGUCACGGAUCCGAAGGCACCUGCCCCGGAGGAGCUCACCCUCCCGGGCCCUCCAUGGAGCUCUCAUCCAUGCCCCCUCGUCACUGGUUUCUCCGUCCCUCCUUCCUCCCUUGGCCAGGGAGCUCCCGAGGGGUUCACAGCACUAAUGGACAGGUGCAGCCUGAGCUGCAAGUCGGAACGUGACAUGGACAAACUGGCCCGCAUCUUCAGCUGUUACAUUAGUGACAUCGUGGAGCAUGUGCUGUGUUUUGGGGGAGAUAUCCUAAAUAUCACAGGGAAUGUGCUCCUGGCACUCUGGACAGUGAAACAGAAUCAACUCAGUGACAUCAUUACCUUGGUCGCAAAAUGCAGUCUGGAGAUACAGGAGAAAUUUGGGAUCUACCAUACCAGAGAAGGCCAGGAUCUGCAGCUAAAGAUAGGUCUAUCUGCCGGUCGAAUUUCUCAGGUUAUUGUUGGAGAUGAGCAGCGACAGUACCUCUUGGUGAUUGGGCGGGAUGUAGAUGAUGUCCAGUUAGCUCAGCGUUUAGCUCAGGCAAAUGAGAUUGUCUUGUCCUGGAACUGCUGGAAGCUCUGUGAGCAGUACAUGUUUGAAGUGGAAAUCAUGAAGGAGGAUGAAGCUGUGAAGUUAAGAGAUAUGCGGAUCAUUGACCCAUUUGAUUUUGAUGAGCAUUUUGACAAGUGCCUUGAUUACCUGCCACAUUACCGGACAAGUGCUGAUACUCUAAGAACUGCCCUGGAGUUGGAUCCAGACUUUGCGCUUGAACAAACCCUGAGGAAGCACAUAAUGAAAAACCUUUUGAAGAAGAUUGAUGAAGGGCAGCCUAUGGAGUAUAUAUCUGAAUUCCGUACUGUGACUAUGGUUUUGGUCAGCCUAGAGUUCCACAAGACAGCAUGGAUGUUGCAUUUGUGUCAUCUUAUCCAGGAGGCUGCCCUGUACAUCUCCACAGUCAUAGAGAAAGGGGGUGGCCAGCUAAGCCGGAUCUUUAUGUUUGAGAAAGGCUGCAUGUUCCUCUGUAUUUUUGGCCUUCCUGGGGAUAAGAAGCCAGAUGAGUGUGCACAUGCCCUGGAGAGCUCCUUCAGCAUCUUCAGCUUCUGCUGGGAGAAUCUUGCUGAGACCAAGCUUGUUUCCAUCAGUAUCACCAAUGGACCAGUAUUCUGUGGCAUGAUUGGGGCAGUGGCAAGACAUGAAUAUACAGUCAUUGGUCCAAAGGUGAGCCUUGUGGCCAGAAUGAUAACUGCUUAUCCAGGUUUGGUGUCCUGUGAUGAGGUAACAUAUCUAAGAUCCAUGCUACCUGCUUACAACUUCAAGAAACUCCCACAGAAAAUGAUGAAGAAUAUCUCCAACCCAGGGAAGAUGUAUGAAUACCUUGGCCAUAGAAGAUGUAUAAUGUUUGGGAAGAGACAUUUGACCAGAGAGAGAAAUAAAAAUCACCCUUUGUUAGAUCGGGAGAAAGAACUGGAAGCCUUCCAAAUGGCACAGCAGGAAUGUUUGCACCAGAAGAAGGGACAAGCAGUUUUGUAUGAAGGUGGAAAAGGCUGUGGAAAAAGUCAGCUGUUGGCUGAAAUAAACUUCCUGGCCCAUAAGGAACAGCACAGGGUGUUACCACUGAAGCUAAAGGAAACAGAUUUCAAGCAGUGCUUCUAUGCCAUCCAGACUCUCAUGGCUAUCUUCUUUGAGAUCGAUACAUGUCCAGCCUAUUACCGGCAAGAGUGCCUGCACAAACAACUCCAUGGGAUGGUGGAGGAACCCCUUCACUGCCUUUUUAAUGACCUCUUCUUUGUGAAGUUUCCCUUAUCCUUUGAAGUUUCGCACAUGGAUGACCUGACCAGACAAAAGAAGGUUAAGGCAUGUUUUUUUCAAGUGCUUCAGGAGGCAGUGAGGGAAGCACCACUGAUUUUCCUCAUUGAUGAAGCCCAAUAUAUGGAUACAGCUUCCUGGGAGUUUUUGGAAACAUUACUCUCCACUGUGCCCAUCAUCAUGGUGAUGACAUUGACCCCUACUUUCACCCUGUGUGGCUGUGCCCAGCACUUCCUGCAGAGCUCUCAGGCUGUCCUUGUGCCCAUUUUGAAGUUGGCAGCGACCUCACUGUUGAGAAUGGCAUGUUGGGAACUGGGGGUGGUGAGCAUCCCCCAAGAGCUACAGAUCUACCUUCUCCACAGGUGCUUUGGAAAUCCCCUCUACUGUGAGGUCUUAUGCCAGGACCUUCUCUCUAAAGAUAUUUUGCUCUUUCAUGACCUCCAAAAGGUGGAGGAGAACAGCAAGUGGGAGAACCUCUCAGCCAAUGCCAUGAAAUCCACAAUGUAUGGUAUUUUUCCUGCUGGCUCUGAAGAAGACCAUGAACUUUAUAUCUGCACAGUCAAGGAUGAUGUGAACUUGGAUACAGUGCUUCUCCCACCAUUAUUAAAAGAAAUAGCAGUAAACCAGUUAGAUCAAUUGAGCCCAGCGGAGCAGCUGCUGGUUAAGUGUGCUGCAGUCAUUGGUCACUCCUUCCACAUAGAUCUGCUGCAACACCUCCUGCCUGGCUGGAAUAAAAAUAAGCUACUUCAGGUGUUGAGGGCUCUUGUGGAUAUACAUGUGCUCUGCUGGAUCAACAAGAGUCAAGAGCUUCCUGCUGACUCAAUAAUAGUGCCUUCCUCGAUCAAGAUUAUUGAACAAAUCAAAGAGGAGAAGAAGAAAAAGUCAGAUGCUGACUCUCCUCUCAGUCUGCAAGAGGAACUAUCCCUACCUCAAACAGAGGUGCUAGAAUUUGGAGUGCCACUAAUACGGGAAGCUGCUUGGGAGCUGUGGCCCAAGGCGCAGCAGAUAGCCCUGCACCUUGAAUGUGCCUACUUUCUCCGAGAUUUGGCCUGCCGCUGUGGGAGCUGUCAUGGUGGGGACUUUGUCCCCUUCCACCGUUUUGCCAUCUGUUCUACUAAGAGCUGCAAUGGGACCUCCCGGUUCUGUAGUUACAAAGAUACUGGCUCAGUACUAAGACAAGUGAUCACAGACAAAUUGCAGCUGCCUUCUCCCCAAGAUAGUUUUCAGUUCCAGACAAAAUCAUUCAGAAGUCAGGAGGCCUUCACAAGUGAACACUGCAGAACAGAGGAAGAGUUCCUGGAUCAAGUGAACAGGAAGCUGUCUCAGGCCAGCCCCGAGAAAGACAUGUUGACCACCAAGCCCUGUCACUGUGAGGAUAUCCUGAAGUUAGUGCUCUCACCACUCAUCCACCACUGCCUGGUCAUUGGAGAAACCACAUGUGCAUUUUAUUACCUGCUGGAGGCUGCUGCUGCCUCCUUGGACCUAUCAGAUAAUUACAUGGCCUUCCUUUAUUUGAAGAAGGCAAGCAGUCUUCUGGGGCAGCCCUCAGCAUUCUCAUUUUUGAAAAAUCACAAGGUGAAGAUCUGUCAGUUUGAGGAGGCCACUUUCUGCUGUCUUCGGUCAGAGGUCUGUUUCAACAUGGGACAGAUCACCUUGGCCAAAAAAUUGGCCAGGCAAGCCCUUCGACUGCUGAAAAGGAAUUUCCCUUGGACCUGGUUUGGUGUCCUUUUCCAAACAUUCCUAGAAAAAUAUUGGCGUUCCUGUUCCCUAAGCCAACCUCCAAACAACCCCAGUGAGAACAGCAAGAAGAAGCUGGCAGUCCUGCAGCAGCAGGUACACUGCCUCUCCCUGCUCUGGCAGCUCUAUAACCUGGAGACCACAGCCAGCAGCCACAGGUUUGCCUGCCUCGCCACUCUUAUGCAGAAGAAUUCUGCUGAGGAGUUUGCAAAUGAAGCCCAGGUUGUCUCUACCUAUGUGGCCCUAUCCCAGUUCUCCCAGAAUACGGGUGACAGGGACAAGUGGCUGCACUGUGAGCAGAUGGCCAUUCAGAAAAGCAGCCUAUGCUGGUUCUCCAGGGAGGGAUUGCUGGCCACAGCCCAGCUCAUGCAGGCCUUGGCCUACACCAAGCUCUGCCUCGGCCAUCUGGACUUCUCCAUCAAGCUGGGUUUUCAAGCUCAUGAGAUAUGCAGACACCUCAAGAAACCAGCUCUGGAGAAUCUGGUUCUCUCAGUUCUCUUCAGAUCUGCAUUUCUGAAGAAGAAAUUUGAUCUGUGUGUCCAUGUGCUGGAGCGUCAAUGGGUGCUCAUUUCCCACGGUCAUGAUGUCCUUGGCCUGGCCUGCUUCUAUUCUGCUUGCUUAGAUCUGCUGCUCUACGGAGAAGGAUUGCUGUGUCGGCCCUUUGGCGAGUGUCUGCAUUUCAUUCAACACUGUGAGCACAGCUGCAUUCUAAACUCUCAGAGUAAUGUCAUGCUGGGGGUCCACUCAUCUCUGGCCAUGUGGUUUGCCCAGGACUCCCAGUGGAAUCUCUUUGAGCACCACUUCUCCAAGGCUCGCCAGUUGGUGAAAAGAACCAAUGCCUCACUAUUUGGUUCACAUGGUUUUGUCCGAUUCCUGGAGUGCCAUGUGCUAAUGUUACAAAAAAUGCCAGACAGUGUCUUCAUGCACACUCUGCCAGAGACUUGCAGCCAAACCCUCAAGUACUGUAAGGAGUUCUUCUCUCGGUGUGUGACCUGCCCAGUCUAUCACCAGUGGGUCUCUGAGCUUAAAGCCUCUGUAAUGAGAUAUGGAAAGAGAGAAUCCAUGUCCUCGACUAACAUCAUCAGACCUUUUGACACCUGCUUGGCCAGGAUUUGGAUAGAGGGAGAAUACCUGGAGGAAAACCACUCCUUUGGAGGACAUUUAGGAAUACAGAGAUUUGACAGAAUGGCUGAUGUCAAGGAGAAUAAGAAUGAAGAAGAAAUUCAAGAAUGUACAUGUUAAAAAAAAAGCCAUCUAAAGGGACCAUGGUUUUCUUGUUGUAUAUAACACAAAGAAAUGACCCAAGUUCUCCUUUUGAAGAUACUGUAUAGUGGACAUAUUCAACAUAUUACCCUUUUACAGUAACUACUAUCUAUAGCUUUGUCAAAAUAAAAGCCUAUGUUUCUGAAGCAUGAAA